rnacentral:rRNA from 1 species
UACGUAGGGUGCAAGCGUUGUCCGGAAUUAUUGGGCGUAAAGAGCUCGUAGGCGGUUUGUCGCGUCUGCUGUGAAAUCCCGAGGCUCAACCUCGGGCCUGCAGUGGGUACGGGCAGACUAGAGUGCGGUAGGGGAGAUUGGAAUUCCUGGUGUAGCGGUGGAAUGCGCAGAUAUCAGGAGGAACGCACGAUGGCGAAGGCAGAUCUCUGGGCCGUAACUGACGCUGAGGAGCGAAAGCGUGGGGAGCGAACAGG